rnacentral:antisense_RNA from 2 species
UUCGGUACGACAUUGCUCACAUUGCUUCCAGUAUUUUUGCCCGCCUGACAAGUGCGGGCUUUUUUUU